rnacentral:sRNA from 1 species
UUUAAAAAUAGGGUGAAAGUAACUGAAAGCAGUGGGCUCACUUGCUUUGUUUUCUUAAAUUAAGCUUAUGUGACUCACCCAUUUUCUGUCUUGGUGUAGGAACUUAGUGAUUUGGCCCGUGACCCUCCAGCACAGUGUUCUGCAGGUCCAGUUGGGGAUGAUAUGUUUCAUUGGCAAGCCACAAUUAUGGGACCUAAUGACAGCCCAUAUCAAGGCGGUGUAUUCUUUUUGACAAUUCAUUUUCCUACAGACUACCCCUUCAAACCACCUAAGGCAAGUAUUUUCCCUCAAAGUCUGUUAGUAUAGAUUUAUGCUUUAUUUCAAAGGAAUAGAGCAUUCUUGGAAGAUAGGGUUCUGCGUAGGCUGUAUAUAUAUGUCGAAUUGAGGCACUGAUGUAUAGAUGCUGACUCUUAACCUUUGGUUUAAAGAGCUAGACCUCAGUUUGAACUUUGUAAAUAGAAAUAAGGUUUGCCUUUUCUUUAAUGUUG